UAGGGAAACGCCCGGUUACAUUCCGAACCCGGAAGCUAAGCCUUUCAGCGCCGAUGGUACUGCAGGGGGGACCCUGUGGGAGAGUAGGACGCCGCCGAAC
rnacentral:rRNA from 2 species